UCUCUGGCCUGGGUUUAAGGGGGAGCGUGGUGAUCCUGGACCACCUGGUCCACCUGGUCCUCCAGGGCCUAGCCAUGUACUCAAAGAGAAGCUUGAACCAGCUGGGCCACAAGGACCAACAGGAUCCCCUGGACAACCAGGACAAGAUGGACAAAAGGGAAGCAAGGGUGACAAAGGUGAACUAGGUCAGAGGGGACCUCAGGGUUUUCCAGGUUUAAAUGGAGAAGUUGG